ensembl:miRNA Gm22243 predicted gene, 22243
GUGUGUAUGUGUGUGCAUGUAUAUGUGUGUGCAUGUAUAUGUGUGUGCAUGUGUGUAUGUGUGUACAUGUGUAUGUUUGUGUGUGUGCAUGCAUAUGUGUGUGCAUGUAUAUGU